rnacentral:rRNA from 1 species
UGGACUAGCCCCGAAAAUGGAUGGCGCUGAAGCGGGUGACUGAUACCCAAUCAUGGCUGCAAGCACAGCAGCUUUGAGUAGGAGGGCAUGGUGGUUGCAGUGCAGCCCACACGCGAGAAAGGGUGAAGGAACUUCCAGUGCAGAUCUUGGUGGUAGUAGCAAUUUUUCAAAUGAGAGUUUUUGAAGACCGAAGAGGAGAAGGGCCCCAUGUGAACAGAAUUUGGACAUGGGUUAGUCGAUCCUAAGAGUCUGGGUCCUCUGUGGAAGCAGGCUUUGCUGCGAUACUCGAAAGGGAAUGGGGUUAACAUUCUCCAACCAGGGUGCGGAUAGUGUGCGGCAACGCUAGCUCCGUUUGGUGACGCGGGGGGGAGCCCUUGGAAGCGAUGUCUUUUCUUGUUUACCCCUCCACACCCUGGAAACAGUCUGCCUGGGGAUAGGGUUGGUUGGUGGGUAUAGCACCUCGCCCUCAGAGGUGUCUGGUGAGCUCCUCACUGCCCUUGAAAAGCUGAACGCAGCGUUUAUUCGUCCCUGUUCGUACCCAUAGCCGCAUCAGGUCUCCAAGGUUAGCUGCCUCUGGUCUCUAGAGCAAAGUAGGUAAGGGAAGUCGGCAAAGUAGAUCCGUAACUUUGGGAAAAGGAUUGGCUCUGAGGGUUGGGUGU